GAAUUCGCCCUUAGAGUUUGAUCCUGGCUCAGGACGAACGCUGGCGGCGCGCCUAACACAUGCAAGUCGAACGAGCGAGAGAGAGCUUGCUUUCUCGAGCGAGUGGCGAACGGGUGAGUAACGCGUGAGGAACCUGCCUCAAAGAGGGGGACAACAGUUGGAAACGACUGCUAAUACCGCAUAAGCCCGCGGGUCGGCAUCGACCAGAGGGAAAAGGAGCAAUCCGCUUUGAGAUGGCCUCGCGUCCGAUUAGCUAGUUGGUGAGGUAACGGCCCACCAAGGCGACGAUCGGUAGCCGGACUGAGAGGUUGAACGGCCACAUUGGGACUGAGACACGGCCCAGACUCCUACGGGAGGCAGCAGUGGGGAAUAUUGCACAAUGGGGGAAACCCUGAUGCAGCGACGCCGCGUGGAGGAAGAAGGUCUUCGGAUUGUAAACUCCUGCUGUUGAGGAAGAUAAUGACGGUACUCAACAAGGAAGUGACGGCUAACUACGUGCCAGCAGCCGCGGUAAAACGUAGGUCACAAGCGUUGUCCGGAAUUACUGGGUGUAAAGGGAGCGCAGGCGGGAAGACAAGUUGGAAGUGAAAUCCAUGGGCUCAACCCAUGAACUGCUUUCAAAACUGUUUUUCUUGAGUAGUGCAGAGGUAGGCGGAAUUCCCGGUGUAGCGGUGGAAUGCGUAGAUAUCGGGAGGAACACCAGUGGCGAAGGCGGCCUACUGGGCACCAACUGACGCUGAGGCUCGAAAGUGUGGGUAGCAAACAGGAUUAGAUACCCUGGUAGUCCACACCGUAAACGAUGAUUACUAGGUGUUGGAGGGUUGACCCCUUCAGUGCCGCAGUUAACACAAUAAGUAAUCCACCUGGGGAGUACGACCGCAAGGUUGAAACUCAAAGGAAUUGACGGGGGCCCGCACAAGCAGUGGAGUAUGUGGUUUAAUUCGACGCAACGCGAAGAACCUUACCAAGUCUUGACAUCCCUUGACGAUGCUGGAAACAGUAUUUCUCUUCGGAGCAAGGAGACAGGUGGUGCAUGGUUGUCGUCAGCUCGUGUCGUGAGAUGUUGGGUUAAGUCCCGCAACGAGCGCAACCCUUAUGGUCAGUUACUACGCAAGAGGACUCUGGCCAGACUGCCGUUGACAAAACGGAGGAAGGUGGGGAUGACGUCAAAUCAUCAUGCCCUUUAUGACUUGGGCUACACACGUACUACAAUGGCGUUAAACAAAGAGAAGCAAGACCGCGAGGUGGAGCAAAACUCAGAAACAACGUCCCAGUUCGGACUGCAGGCUGCAACUCGCUUGCACGAAGUCGGAAUUGCUAGUAAUCGUGGAUCAGCAUGCUACGGUGGAUACGUUCCCGGGCCUUGUACACACCGCCCGUCA
rnacentral:rRNA from 1 species